rnacentral:rRNA from 1 species
UGGGUAACCUGCCUCAAAGAGGGGAAUAGCCUCCCGAAAGGGAGAUUAAUACCGCAUAAUAUGUUUAGGUCGCAUGACUUUAACAUCAAAGGAUUUCUUUUAGAAAUUCCACUUUGAGAUGGACCCGCGGUGCAUUAGCUAGUUGGUGAGGUAACGGCUCACCAAGGCAACGAUGCGUAGCCGACCUGGAGGGGGUGAUCGGCCACAUUGGAACUGAGACACGGUCCAGACUCCGUACGGGAGCAG